rnacentral:rRNA from 1 species
AAGUUAAGCUCUCUAGCGCUGAUGGUACUUGGUGGGAAACUGCCUGGGAGAGUAGGACGUAGCCACGUAAUCUUUUUUUGUUGUAUUAAAUUUAAUAAACCUACAAUUAUUAUAUG